rnacentral:rRNA from 1 species
AGAGAGAGACAUGCGCGCAUAUCAAUAAGCGGAGGAAAAGAAACUAACAAGGAUUCUCCUAGUAACGGCGAGUGAAGCGGGAAGAGCUCAAAUUUGAAAUCUUAAAGGGUUUCCCUUUACGAAUUGUAGUUUAAAGAAGUGUUUUCUGUUGAGGUUUUGGUAAAAGUUCUUUGGAAUAGGACAUCAUAGAGGGUGAGAAUCCCGUAUUUGACCUUUACUUUCAACUUUGUGAUACACUUUCAAAGAGUCGGAUUGUUUGGGAAUGCAGUCCAAAAUGGGUGGUAAAUUUCAUCUAAAGCUAAAUAUUGGCGAGAGACCGAUAGCGAACAAGUACCGUGAGGGAAAGAUGAAAAGAACUUUGAAAAGAGAGUUAAACAGUACGUGAAAUUGUCAAAAGGGAAGCGUUUGACACCAGUGUUGUUUUUCUGAAAAUCAAUUAAAGAACUGUUUAUGCUAAGUUGUUUAGACUUUAUCAGCUAUCUGUUUAGUUUUGAGCUUUUCUUUAAUGCACUUUUCAGUUAACAAGUCAACAUCAAUUUCUUUUGCUGUAAAAAAGCUUGAGGAAGGUGGCUUGAGAUUCGUCUUAAGUGUUUAUAGCCUCUUGCCUAUGCAGUCGGAGAGAUUGAGGUCUGCAGCGUAGAUCCUUCGGGGCUAAAUGCAUUUGUGCUAAGUUAUAGCAUUUUAUAGACAACUUGUUGACUAUGAUUUGUCUUGUAGCUUACUCGCUUAUGUUAUUUUACCUACGCUUAGGAUGUUGACGAGACUGUCGAUCUCAUCUAUACAUGACUCUGUGCAUAUCAAUAAGCGGAGGAAAAGGCUGCGGAACUGAACGACCGCUACCUACGCUUAGGAUGUUGAGCGCAUGUCUCUCUCU